ACUUGGGCGGCGGGCUACACAUGCAGUCGAGCGGAUGAAGGGAGCUUGCUCCUGGAUUCAGCGGCGGACGGGUGAGUAAUGCCUAGGAAUCUGCCUGGUAGUGGGGGAUAACGUCCGGAAACGGGCGCUAAUACCGCAUACGUCCUGAGGGAGAAAGUGGGGGAUCUUCGGACCUCACGCUAUCAGAUGAGCCUAGGUCGGAUUAGCUAGUUGGUGGGGUAAAGGCCUACCAAGGCGACGAUCCGUAACUGGUCUGAGAGGAUGAUCAGUCACACUGGAACUGAGACACGGUCCAGACUCCUACGGGAGGCAGCAGUGGGGAAUAUUGGACAAUGGGCGAAAGCCUGAUCCAGCCAUGCCGCGUGUGUGAAGAAGGUCUUCGGAUUGUAAAGCACUUUAAGUUGGGAGGAAGGGCAGUAAGUUAAUACCUUGCUGUUUUGACGUUACCAACAGAAUAAGCACCGGCUAACUUCGUGCCAGCACCACGGGUAAUAA
rnacentral:rRNA from 1 species